ACGUACACUCCUGCGGGAGGCAGCAGUGGGGAAUAUUGGACAAUGGGCGCAAGCCUGAUCCAGCCAUGCCGCGUGAGUGAUGAAGGCCCUAGGGUUGUAAAGCUCUUUCACCGGUGAAGAUAAUGACGGUAACCGGAGAAGAAGCCCCGGCUAACUUCGUGCCAGCAGCCGCGGUAAUACGAAGGGGGCUAGCGUUGUUCGGAUUUACUGGGCGUAAAGCGCACGUAGGCGGACUAUUAAGUCAGGGGUGAAAUCCCGGGGCUCAACCCCGGAACUGCCUUUGAUACUGGUAGUCUUGAGUUCGAGAGAGGGGAGUGGAAUUCCGAGUGUAGAGGUGAAAUUCGUAGAUAUUCGGGGGAACACCAGUGGCGAAGGCGGCUCACUGGCUCGAUACUGACGCUGAGGUGCGAAAGCGUGGGGAGCAAACGGGAUUAGAAACCCCAGUAGUCCC
rnacentral:rRNA from 1 species